AACGAACGCUGGCGGCAUGCCUAACACAUGCAAGUCGAACGAAGGCUUCGGCCUUAGUGGCGCACGGGUGCGUAACGCGUGGGAAUCUGCCCUUUGGUUCGGAAUAACAGCUGGAAACGGCUGCUAAUACCGGAUGAUGACGAAAGUCCAAAGAUUUAUCGCCAGAGGAUGAGCCCGCGUUGGAUUAGGUAGUUGGUGGGGUAAAGGCCUACCAAGCCGACGAUCCAUAGCUGGUCUGAGAGGAUGAUCAGCCACACUGGGACUGAGACACGGCCCAGACUCCUACGGGAAGCAGCAGUGGGGAAUAUUGGACGAUGGGCGCAAGCCUGAUCCAGCAAUGCCGCGUGAGUGAUGAAGGCCGUAGGGUUGUAAAGCUCUUUUACCCGGGAAGAUAAUGACUGUACCGGGAGAAUAAGCCCCGGCUAACUCCGUG
rnacentral:rRNA from 1 species